rnacentral:rRNA from 1 species
CCAUUAGAGUUUGAUCAUGGCUCAGAUUGAACGCUGGCGGCAUGCCUUACACAUGCAAGUCGAACGGCAGCACGGGGGCAACCCUGGUGGCGAGUGGCGAACGGGUGAGUAAUAUAUCGGAACGUGCCCUAGAGUGGGGGAUAACGUAGCGAAAGUUACGCUAAUACCGCAUACGAUCUACGGAUGAAAGUGGGGGAUCGCAAGACCUCAUGCUCAUGGAGCGGCCGAUAUCUGAUUAGCUAGUUGGUGGGGUAAAAGCCUACCAAGGCGACGAUCAGUAGCUGGUCUGAGAGGACGACCAGCCACACUGGGACUGAGACACGGCCCAGACUCCUACGGGAGGCAGCAGUGGGGAAUUUUGGACAAUGGGGGCAACCCUGAUCCAGCAAUGCCGCGUGAGUGAAGAAGGCCUUCGGGUUGUAAAGCUCUUUUGUCAGGGAAGAAACGGUUUGGGCUAAUACCCUGAGCUAAUGACGGUACCUGAAGAAUAAGCACCGGCUAACUACGUGCCAGCAGCCGCGGUAAUACAAUCACUAGU